AGUUUGAUCCUGGCUCAGAACGAACGCUGGCGGCAGGCUUAACACAUGCAAGUCGAACGCAUCGCAAGAUGAGUGGCAGACGGGUGAGUAACGCGUGGGAACAUACCCUUUUCUACGGAAUAGCUCUGGGAAACUGGAAUUAAUACCGUAUACGCCCUACGGGGGAAAGAUUUAUCGGGGAAGGAUUGGCCCGCGUUGGAUUAGCUAGUUGGUGGGGUAAAGGCCUACCAAGGCGACGAUCCAUAGCUGGUCUGAGAGGAUGAUCAGCCACAUUGGGACUGAGACACGGCCCAAACUCCUACGGGAGGCAGCAGUGGGGAAUAUUGGACAAUGGGCGCAAGCCUGAUCCAGCCAUGCCGCGUGAGUGAUGAAGGCCUUAGGGUUGUAAAGCUCUUUUACCCGGGAUGAUAAUGACAGUACCGGGAGAAUAAGCCCCGGCUAACUCCGUGCCAGCAGCCGCGGUAA
rnacentral:rRNA from 1 species